CGCUCUUUGUGUACCACGAAGGGAGGAAAGUCCGGGCUCCAUAGGGCAGAGUGCCAGGUAACGCCUGGGAGGUGUGAGCCUACGGAAAGUGCCACAGAAAAUAUACCGCCUGUUCAUUUAGCAGGUAAGGGUGAAAUGGUGCGGUAAGAGCGCACCGCGCGAUUGGUAACAGUCGUGGCAGGGAAAACCCCACUCGGAGCAAGACCAAAUAGGAAUCCUACUUACCUUUGGUAAGAGCGUACGGCCCGUACGGGAUUCGGGUAGGUUGCUUGAGGCAUGUGGUGACGCAUGUCCCAGAUGAAUGAUUGUCCGCG
rnacentral:RNase_P_RNA from 1 species